rnacentral:tmRNA from 1 species
GGGGCUGAUUUUGGAUUCGACAGGAUUCUGGACGCCCGAGGUGCAUGCAGAGGUUGUGGCUGGCCUCUUAAAAAAGCCACUUUAAAGUAGUCGCAAACGACGAAAACUACGCUCUAGCCGCUUAAUAACCGGUUUAGAGCCCUUCCACUCUGGCCUCGUCCAUGGGUAGAGGUUCGGAAGGUCAUCAUCAUGGACUAGCGAGGGAAACUUCCUGAGGUUGAACCGCGAAAUAGUAUCAGGACAGCUACAAGGAACCCUGUCUGCCGGGGUCCAACGUAGUUAAAUAAAAGACAGACUAAGCAUGUAGUACCAACGGUUGACGCUUUCUGGACGCGGGUUCAAGUCCCGCCAGCUCCACCA